rnacentral:rRNA from 1 species
AGGGUUUGAUUAUGGCUCAGGACGAACGCUGGCGGCGCGCCUAACACAUGCAAGUCGAACGGAGCUUAAGAGAGCUUGCUUUUUUAAGCUUAGUGGCGAACGGGUGAGUAACGCGUGAGUAACCUGCCCUGGAGUGGGGGACAACAGUUGGAAACGACUGCUAAUACCGCAUAAGCCCACAGCACCGCAUGGUGCAGCGGGAAAAGGAUUUAUUCGCUUCAGGAUGGACUCGCGUCCAAUUAGCUAGUUGGUGAGGUAACGGCCCACCAAGGCGACGAUUGGUAGCCGGACUGAGAGGUUGAACGGCCACAUUGGGACUGAGACACGGCCCAG